rnacentral:misc_RNA from 1 species
GUCCAGUCCUUGCAACCAAAUGCAGCCUAGAAGGCUUAAUAAAUAAACUUACCCCUAAACUAAUUAAUAAAGUGUUUCACACCCUCUGACCUAUUACACCAUCAAUUUUUCUUUAACCAAUAGACAUAAUUUUCCCAAUUAAUUGGUGAAUAAUGGAUUAAAUAUGAUAUUGAUAAUUGUCCAGCCAUCAUAAACAUGAAAUUGAUGAUUUAUUCAAUUA